rnacentral:rRNA from 1 species
UACGGAGGGUGCAAGCGUUGUUCGGAAUCACUGGGCGUAAAGGGCGUGUAGGCGGUCCGCUAAGUCUGAUGUGAAAGCCCCGGGGCUCACCCCCCGGAAGGGCAUUGGAAACUGGCGGACUCGAGUCUCGGAGAGGAAGGUGGAAUUCCGUGGUGUAGCGGUGAAAUGCGUAGAUAUCAGGAGGAAUACCGGUGGCGAAGGCGGCCUUCUGGACGAUGACUGACGCUGAGACGCGAAAGCGUGGGGAGCGAACAGG